rnacentral:sRNA from 1 species
CGUCUUCAACUUGUUGCGGGCAAAUCCAAUGGAUGUGCGCGUCGAUGCCGCCCGGCGUCACAAUGCGCCCUUCACCAGCAAUGGCUUCGGUACCCGGCCCGAUGAUGAUGUCCACAUUCGGCUGGGUAUCGGGGUUGCCCGCUUUGCCGAUGGCGACGAUGCGCCCACCCCUGAUGCCGAUAUCGGCCUUGAUGAUGCCCCAGUGAUCGACGAUCAAGGCGUUGGUGAUGACGGUGUCCACGGCCCCUUCGGCGCGCGACAUUUGCGAUUGGCCCAUGCCGUCGCG